rnacentral:rRNA from 1 species
GAUGAACGCUAGCGGCAGGCUUAACACAUGCAAGUCGAGGGGUAUGGUUCUUCGGAGCUAGAGACCGGCGCACGGGUGCGUAACGCGUAUGCAAUCUAUCUUUCACAGAGGGAUAGCCCAGAGAAAUUUGGAUUAAUACCUCAUAGUAUAAUGAGUUGGCAUCAACCCAUUAUUAAAGUCACAACGGUGAAAGAUGAGCAUGCGUCCCAUUAGCUAGUUGGUAGGGUAACGGCUUACCAAGGCUACGAUGGGUAGGGGUCCUGAGAGAGAGAUCCCCCACACUGGUACUGAGACACGGACCAGACUCCUACGGGAGGCAGCAGUGAGGAAUAUUGGUCAAUGGACGCAAGUCUGAACCAGCCAUGCCGCGUGCAGGAUAACGGUCCUAUGGAUUGUAAACUGCUUUUGUACGAGAAGAAACACUCCUUCGUGAAGGAGCUUGACGGUAUCGUAAGAAUAAGGAUCGGCUAACUCCGUGCCAGCCGCCGCCGUAA